UCAGCUCCCAGCACAGCGGACUGUACUACUGCACUGCUCACAACCAGCUGGGACAGCACACCUCUAGACCAACACACCUGGAUGUGAAGGGUAAAUGUACACAGACACACCUGGAUGUGUUGGGUGACUCUACACAGACACACCUGGAUGUGAUAGGUGAUGAGGAGAGCUCAGCGAAGGUGUGGAAGCUGCAUGCUGUAUGGGGAGCUGCUGCACUCGUUCCUGCUCUGCUUCUCUCUCUUCUUACUGCCGUUCUGUGCAUUAAGAGGAAGAGAGGAGCAGAGAGAGACACAGACAUUCAGAGUGUUCCAAAGCCUGGAGAUGACACAUACACAGCACUGAACCCCAUGAAUACGUCCCCGGAUUAUGACACUCUGCAAAAUGUUAAAAGCUCUGCCAGUGACACUUACACAACCCUGAACCCUGCGACCGUGUCCUCUGAUUAUGACACGCUGACAGGUGUGGCUACUCGACUCAGUGAGGAGAAGUACUCCAGAACUGGUGAAUGAGAACUAACGGUUGACUUUGGUUAGUAACGGCUCAGGAAGGAUGCUCAGGGUGAGAGUUUUAGGAUUAGAGUUGAGGAUUAGAGUUAAACAGCAUCAAGACGUCACAACAAAUUCAUUUCUGUCUUAAUUAAGUGUCAUUCGUUUAUGUUAUUCAAGCAGCUCCUUUAGUUUCUCAGUUGUCUUUUCGCACAUUUAAUGUAUUACACACACACAUACACAUAUAGUGUGUGUAGCGUCCUGGGAUCAUCCUUCACGUUUUCUACUAUAUCUAUCUCUCCAGCUUUUUCUCAUCAUCGCCUCUUCACUCGCUUGAUCUCUGUUCACGCUGACAUCAGUGGGGAAAUAAUCACUGAUUCAAUCCAUCAGCUCUGAUCUGUUGGUUAAAUUUCUUGUUACUGUCUUACAACUUUGUUCGCUCUUAUCUGAUCCUAUUUGUUAUUUUCAUGUGUUGUAAAACUACAGUGAAAAGCUGGUUAAUGAUGAUG
ensembl:lncRNA